AGUAUGCAACGUCUGGGAGCCCUGUGGAUAUGAGUAGCAACCGUGGAACUGAAUUUACUGGCCAGGAAGUUUGGAAUGAUCCGAUAAAAAGGACAAACGCUGGCAUUUCCACCUGCCUUACCACCCCGCUGCUGCCAGGCUAACGGAAAGGAUAAAUGGGCUACUUGACAACAAUUGAGGUGGGAAUCUGCCCUCUCAGCUGCGCACCAGGAGACUAACUCACAUCCUGGGAGCCAGACUGAACAUCCCAGUGUCUACACCGUGUUCACCCAGAGGCAACACCAUCCAAGUUCAGCUGUUGACCACCAAAAGACUGUUGCCAACUCUCGGACAGACAGUAACUCACUUUUGCCCUGACUACAGGAUCUACACGCAGAGGAGCUCACUAUAACAUAGCCCUGGGACAGAAAUAUCUUCAUAUCAGCUGAAAGCUUAACAUGAACUUUCUGCUCCAGCACUUUGUAACCCAGAACUGCCUCAACAAGCUAACGUCAAACCAGCCAGAAUAGUAUUCCAGACCCCGUUAGAGGCAGAGAUGAACAAGAUGGCAUCUGCACUGGUUCUGGUGCCCGUGACACAUUUACCCCGAGGAGAAAUGAUCCAUGUGGCGUGCUGGAGCAAGCUCUCCACACUAACUGUUCUCAUCACCAUUCUGAAACCUUGGCGUCACUGAGGCAUAGCUGUCCUAAGGAUUUUAAUACUGCAAUUCACAGGCCUUUUGUUAAACAAUAAGACCCCAAAUGACUUUCUACCUAGAUGUAAACAUGUGUUUCCCUUCAAGAUUUCAAAAAUGUUCCCUAGCAACACAAACUCUCUGAACUUUUAGCUUCCUGCUAGAGCUGUGUAAAGUCAGCUUCUUCUGAGUCACUGGUUGAUUUUUUUCUGGUAUCAUGGUUUACCAAUUACCUCAUCAUUAUCAUUUCUUGUCCACUGACCAAAAAGGCUGUAGUUGUACAUGACAGUUGUAUUUGGCAUUCGAUAUGGUCUCCCUAUCAACUCACUUUUGAGGCCCAGUAUUUAGCAGAGAAUGUUCUUUUCUAUAUAGCAGCUUAUUAGUUUCAUCCACUAUUGUGCUAUAAGCAUGCAUUUUACCUGCAUUAUUUCAUUUCAUCCUCACAGUGAUCCUCUAUGGUGCAGAGAUAAAAAUGACUAGGAUGUGGUCACCACAAAC